rnacentral:rRNA from 1 species
CUGGCUCAGGAUGAACGCUGGCGGCGUGCCUAAUACAUGCAAGUCGAGCGAAUGGAUUAAGAGCUUGCUCUUAUGAAGUUAGCGGCGGACGGGUGAGUAACACGUGGGUAACCUGCCCAUAAGACUGGGAUAACUCCGGGAAACCGGGGCUAAUACCGGAUAACAUUUUGAACUGCAUGGUUCGAAAUUGAAAGGCGGCUUCGGCUGUCACUUAUGGAUGGACCCGCGUCGCAUUAGCUAGUUGGUGAGGUAACGGCUCACCAAGGCAACGAUGCGUAGCCGACCUGAGAGGGUGAUCGGCCACACUGGGACUGAGACACGGCCCAGACUCCUACGGGAGGCAGCAGUAGGGAAUCUUCCGCAAUGGACGAAAGUCUGACGGAGCAACGCCGCGUGAGUGAUGAAGGCUUUCGGGUCGUAAAACUCUGUUGUUAGGGAAGAACAAGUGCUAGUUGAAUAAGCUGGCACCUUGACGGUACCUAACCAGAAAGCCACGGCUAACUACGUGCCAGCAGCCGCGGUAAUACGUAGGUGGCAAGCGUUAUCCGGAAUUAUUGGGCGUAAAGCGCGCGCAGGUGGUUUCUUAAGUCUGAUGUGAAAGCCCACGGCUCAACCGUGGAGGGUCAUUGGAAACUGGGAGACUUGAGUGCAGAAGAGGAAAGUGGAAUUCCAUGUGUAGCGGUGAAAUGCGUAGAGAUAUGGAGGAACACCAGUGGCGAAGGCGACUUUCUGGUCUGUAACUGACACUGAGG